AAAAAAAAAAAAAAAAAAAAGGAAAAAAAGAAAAGGCAAACCAUCUGAAGCAUCUCAGGUACUUGGUCAUCAUGGGGAACUUGUUUUUUUCACAUGGACGAUGACACCUUCAAAGAAACAAUGCCAAGUAACUGAAUUGAGCUAAGACUUCUUAAGUGAAAUAAUACAAUUUUAAGGGGGAAACUGCAGAAAAAAGCAUAGGUUUUUAAUAAGCUCUUUUAACUAGGAAAGCAUGGGGAAAUCUCUUAAAACCUCACUUUCUUUAAAAAAGAACAAUAACAACAUUUUGACCACAUGCUUUUAACUUUAUAAUAUUGAAGAUUACAUAAGCUUAAUCUUAGGCAAUGCUGUAACCUCAAUUUUUAAGGAAUUCAGAUGAUCGCCUUCUUUUUCCUCUAUUUUUAAAAAUUUUUCUUUGAAAGGAGAAAGGAAAGAGGAAUUAUUAAAAGCAAAGAAUGGCUUCCAUUUAUCUCUUAUCCAGAAGACAUGAAUAAAACAAACUUACCUGGUAGGUACCCAGGUAAGUGUUUCUGUGGUAUAUUUUUUUAAGUGUUUUCCAUGUUACACCUACCAGUACUCUUAGAAUUAUGCUCUAGACAUUACUUGGGUUCCAAAAAGGUGGUUAAUAUCCCCAAAGAAUCCCUCAUAUUCUUCCUUUGUAAUUUCCACUCCUCUGCUAGUGAAGCUAUUUGGAGAGGUCUCAGUGAAUCAGUGAAUAACCAUUGCCACCUUCAUCUCUUUUUGGCUGCCCACAAAAUUGAAAACUCUGUGAAACUCACACCAGAUAGUUAGGUCUUACCCAUUUUGUGGCUUGAUUACUUGUUCUGAUUAAUAAAAAAAAAAAAAAUUAAGUAGUUUAAAGGUUUUUUUGAGGGGGAUUUUCUUUAUCUCUGAAGUAGUCACCUGAUAAAACAAGAAUAAUCCUCAGAGUAAACAUAUUUAUUACGGUUUCAUUAGAAUUGUGUUCCUUGAAAUGUGCAGUAAUGCUCUCAUGGUCAGAUGUUUAUUUCAGUGACAAAAAUGAAGAAUGUUGGUGUAUUAAUCUGCAUUGUAAAGUGUGACAAGUUCAGGUCAAGCUAACUGGAAACUUGGAAACCAAGGGAGUGUCUACUGCAAGAAGAGAUUUUUAUAUCAGUUAAGCAUUGCAUUUGGCUACCAGUGGCAGGCUGCUGACUUGUGUGAUUUAAAUAUCUAUGCAUAUUUGUCAAUCAAUAAAAAGUAUAGAGAGAGAUAGGCAGUUACUGAUAGCUGUUCAAUAGCACAAGAGUGUCAGGGAUUCUGGGAUGAAUUUCUUAGCCUUCCACUCAUGGUCCCCAAGUGACUGCUGGACCUCAACACCUUACCACCAGUUUUUGAGGAAGAAGAAUAGAAGGGGCACUUGUCAGCUUAAUAAACUUUUCCAGAGGUCUCAUCCAGCUGUUUAUCACAUCUUGCUUAUAAGAUGUGCGUGCAUCUUAGCAUCCUUUGAGCAAGUGAGGCUGAGAAAUAUAUUUUUAGCUGGGUACUUGCCUUCCGCUAUCCUCUCUCACAAAGGAAGGAAUAAAAACGUGGAGGUUAUGCGGGUAGUGAGGAGUUACUGCUACAUAUAUGUUACAUUUCAGUGCCAUCUCAGACUCCUCUUUGGAGUUAAGUCACCCAAAGUGAAAGAGAAGAGAUGCAACUUCAUCCACUGACCACCCUUGUUAUAGGAACCUGAGUUUCAUCUCUCAUUGGAGCAAUAAUUAAACCAUACUCUCCCAGAGAGGUAGGGACACGGUUGUACUGGGAAGCUCCAGUAUAGGAUACACCCCUGGCAUUCAGUAUUUGAGGUUUCCAUUGUUCAAGACCAAACUUGAAGGUCCAUGGCAUAUAAUAAAUAACUUUAAAUUUUUAUGUCAUAUCAAUUUUAGUCCCCUUCACACCAAGAGGCAUAAAAUUUUCUGACAGUAGGAGAUGUAUUCAUUUUCUGGGGCUACCAUAUCAAGGUACCACAUACUAGGUGACUUAAACAAUAGAAAUUUAUUGUCUCACAGAUCUGGAGGCUAUAUCCAAGGUCAAGGUAUUGACAGGAUUGGCUGUAAGAGACAAUCCUUUCCAUGCCUCUCCUAGAUUCUGGUGGUUUUCUGGCAAUCUUUAGUGUUCCUUGGCUUAUAGAUGCCUCACCCUGAUCUCAGCCUUCAUCUGUACAUGCAUGGUGUUCUGCCUUUAUCUAUGUGAAGAUAAAGGUUCGUAAAACCUCUUCACAUAGUGUCUGACUCUGUGCACAUUUUUUUUAUGAGGACACCAUUCAUAUUGGAUUAGGGCCCUAAUGACUUCACCUUAAUUUGAGCACAUCUGCAAAGACCCUAUUUCCAAAUAACCUUCUGAGGUACUAGGAGUUAGGACCUCAACAUAUAUUUUGAGGGAACAUAAUUCAACCAAUAACAGUUGGUGUUCAAAUCAGAAAAUGAACCUGCAACAUACACAUGGCAGCAAUCUUUUUUCUCUCCCUCCAUUUUUAUGCAGAAAUUAUACACUAUAGGGAUAUUUAAGAAUUUUAAGGGCCUACUCAUUAGCAUACAUUGGAAAUACUGCUUUUAGUAUAUUAUCAUGAAAAUAAACGAUGAAUCUAGAUUACAGUUGAGUUGCUCUUGAAUCUAAAGAUAUAGAUUUACUUCACAUUAUGACUGUUCAAUUGACCAGUUUCACCAUAACAGCUCACUUUUCUCAAAAUAACACUUUUUUGAAAUAACUGUUUCAUCCCAAAAUGUACUGAAAACUAUAAACAAUAUAUUUCCAGGAAAAGUCACAAUUGCCAAUUACUUAACACAAUAAUUUCUAAUAAGAAUAUCAUUUGCAACAAAUUCAAAUCGAGCAUCAUGUCUGGAUGAAACAAAACAUUUUUGCUGUGCAUUAGGAUGCCAGGUGAGAAGACAGAUGUUGCAUCUUCUGAAUCUAUAGUCUCUUUUGUACAUGUUUCCACGUGUGUCCACGUGUUCCACUGCUCUCAGGUUUAGCCUUUAUUUCGUCACAGUCUUAAAGAAAUUCUUUUCCAGUGGGUUGAACUGUGUCUCCCAAAAAGAUAAGGUCAAAUCUUGAACUCUGGUACCUGUGAAUAGGAGCUUAUUUGGAAAUAGGGUUUUGUAGAUGUACUCAAGUCAUGAUAAGAUCAUAAUGGAGGGUGAGUGCUCAUCAAACAACUUAUGUCUUCAUGAGAACACGGAUAUUUGGACACAGGGACACAGAGGGAGAACACCAUGUGAAGACAGAGGCAGAGAUUAAAAUGAUGCAUCUACAAGCCAAGGAAUGCCAAGGAUUGCCUGCAAUCUCCAAAAGCUAAGAGAGAGGCAUGGAACAGAUUCUCCCUUGGAGACUCCGGAAGGCUUGCCAAGGCUUUUGGACUUGAUUUUGGACCUUUGGCUUUCAGAACUAUGAGAGAACAAAUGUCUGUUGUUCCAAGCCACCCAACUUGUGAUCAUUUGUUAUGGCAGCCCUAGGAAACUAAUAUAUCCAGCAGAUCCAAUUUUCAAAUUCCUGUCUGAAGAUAAGCACCAACUGUGACUGCCAUCCCUUAUUCAGUCUCUUCCUUCCUCGGGCAAGGUUUUAGGAACAAAAUUAAAAUCGUUAAAUGAGACAGCGCUUACUAUAAUUCCGAUGGUCACAACCUGAGUAAAGAAAAAAAGGUGUUUCUAGCAAGAAUAAGGAACUGCAGUAGAAACUGAUACAUAGUGUCGGGUGGAGUUUCCUGAUUGUGGCAGGAUUGGCCAAGGCCUGAUGGGUCCUCUCUGCAGUGGUUGGGAGUCAGUCUUCCAGGCCCACUUGGAGCCUCCUCUGCUGCCUUGCCCAGAUUGGUAGGCACCAGUUAAGCCCUCAACGGGGGACUGAGUUUUGAUCACUGAAUAGGAGUAGACCUUCUGAUUGAGCUACAUUUGAAGACUCAAGGUGAGGUAGGUGGUAUCUCCCCCUUUGGCAGAUGAGGAACCGAACGCACUGGAAAUUAAAUGAUUUGCCCAAAGUCACAUAGGACUAGUGUCCUUAUGAGAAGAGGAGGAGAUUAUCGGGAUACACGUGCACA